rnacentral:rRNA from 1 species
UGGGGAAUUUUGGACAAUGGACGAAAGUCUGAUCCAGCAAUGCCGCGUGCAGGACGAAGGCCUUCGGGUUGUAAACUGCUUUUGUACGGAACGAAAAGGCUCUUUUUAAUAAAGAGAGUCUAUGACGGUACCGUAAGAAUAAGCACCGGCUAACUACGUGCCAGCAGCCGCGGUAAUACGUAGGGUGCAAGCGUUAAUCGGAAUUACUGGGCGUAAAGCGUCCGCAGGCGGUUUUAUAAGACAGAUGUGAAAUCCCUGGGCUCAACCUAGGAACUGCAUUUGUGACUGUAAAGCUAGAGUACGGCAGAGGGGGAUGGAAUUCCGCGUGUAGCAGUGAAAUGCGUAGAUAUGCGGAGGAACACCGAUGGCGAAGGCAAUCCCCUGGGCCUGUACUGACGCUCAUGGACGAAGGCGUGGGGAGCAAACAGG